CUUGAAUUAAUUAUGAACAUGAUUAAGAAAGCUAAAAUCUCAGGAGCCAGUCUCUCAUUACCCAUUCACUCUUAGGGAUUGCUUUCAUUCAGGGAAGGAGAGGCGAAAAAGCCUUCCAGCAGAGCCCACUCCGGCUCAGCUCUUCUCCCUGUGUGCCUGUCCCCUUGUCUCUGCUGCCGGGCCAACUGACCAAGCCUCCGACAGACAGACCGGCCGGCCGGCCGCCAGCCCGCCCGCCGCCUGGACGGCUCUCUUGCACUCAUGCCUGUUAUGGUGAUGUGGCCAAGCUCAGCUAGCUGCUUCGUGGCCUCUGACGUUUGCAUGGAAAAGAGAGGAUGUGCUCAACCUUCCUGUUCUACACCUGAGUUCAAGCUCUGGGGUCUUGACCCUCUUAAAAAAAGAAACACUCGAGAUGAGCCCUGGCAGCCACAACGAACACAGCCAAGAGCAUGGUAACCUUUUCACCCACAUACGUAAGAUUCUGAUUUGAAAACACAAAAUUGAAGCUUUUACUAAAAGAAAGAAUGGAUCUUUUAAACAGCGUGAGUAAAGAUAUUGCACAGACAAGUAUCAGACUCAAAUAUCACCAUCAAAGAAUGAUCAGAAAACAUUUAGCGCAUGACUUGAAAUAUUACCAACAUCGCCAAGAGAAACCAAACAACUUAAGGUUGGAUAAAUGACACGCUUACAUGAACGCUCUGACUGGGAUGUAAAAGAAUAAUUUUGUCGCCGCUAGAAAACAUAUGAAGAAAUGCCAGUUUUGAAAAAUGUCAUCUUUAAAAGGGAAAUCUAAAUGUCAGAGAGACAGAUACUUUACACAUAGAGAGCGCUGCCUUCUGGGCGUAACACAGAAAGGCGUGAGAAUAAUAUUUUUUUCCCAGUUGAAAUGAACUGCAAUUACCCGUCAUCAGGCACAGAAAGCAGCACGCUUCACAUCCACAGUCACAUCGCCUGGAGAGGAGCGUGGUCACUGUUUGCAACAUUAGUCAGGAAAUCUGAGGAGGAAAGCACA
ensembl:lncRNA